GCGACGACGGGUAGCCGGCCUGAGAGGGUGACCGGCCACACUGGGACUAAGACACGGCCCAGACUCCUACGGGAGGCAGCAGUGGGGAAUAUUGCACAAUGGGCGAAAGCCUGAUGCAGCGACGCCGCGUGCGGGAUGACGGCCUUCGGGUUGUAAACCUCUUUCAGCAGGGACGAAGCGCGAGUGACCGUACCUGCAGAAGAAGCACCGGC
rnacentral:rRNA from 1 species